CCACGGAGCGCUUAUCUCCCGCGUAGUCAAACAGCGAGUUCAGCCCCGGUGCCGGGAAGAUGGACAUGCCGGCAAAACCCGGCGGAGAGCGCUGCUGGGGUGACCGCGCUGCGGGGGCUGAGGCAGAGGAACAGAAAGCAGAGCAAUGCCGUCACAGCUUCGCAGACGUGCCUGUGUGCCAGCUGCCUUCUGCCAAGCAGAGCAAUGCCCAGCGAGUGACCAAACACACACCAGCCAAAACAGAGAGAAGGAGAUUUGGGGUUCGGUACACACGAAUCGUUUGGAAUUUAUACCUUCAGACAAGGUCCCCCGCAGAGCAGUAAUGUCACUGGUUCCGAUAGCGUUUUGUCAACCUUUUGACUUCUCCAGCUAUUUAAUAUGCAUCCAACAACAUAUUGUACUCCUUGGGCGUAACAGCAAGCAUGUGCCACGGCACACCUAAAAGUAGGAGGGAAUGCUUUACAGCAGAUGGGCCACAGGCCUGGAUCCCUACCCCUAUGUCAUAGUUACCAAAUUAUUGGAGUGUCUUCUCUUAAAUCCCGUGUCAUUAUUUGGUAAAUGACAUUAAUUAGAGAGCAAGCUGAAUUCCACUCGGAAAUACAAGUAGCAGUCAAAUAGUUAAUCAAUUCAGUGCACUGAAUACAGCUUUGAAAAGGGUAUGACUGCUGCCAUUGUCUUUGUAGCCUGGCUGACAGUAUAUGACAAUAUAUACCUUUCAAAUUAUCCUUUGGUCACCCUUUGGGCCCAUUUUUGAGGCUACUUUCAAUGAUCUAAUAUAACCAAAUAGUGUGCAAUUAGGACACUCUCACUAACCAUGAUAGAAGAUGUAACUAUUCCUUUGUAGGUGCUGAUUUAGCUUCCGUGGCUUGCAGGCAGAGUGCUGCUAUGGUCUCUCAGCCUGGUGUACUGUGCCUGCCUUGGGUAUUCACAACCAUUGAGCUGCUACUCCACCUUGCCAUUUAAACAGGGCUCGUGUGAAGAUCUCAUUUUCAUGUUUGCCCUAUAAGGUACAAGAGUGUGACUUUAUAAAUUAAAAAAUAGCACAAGUGUAUACAUUUGAUAAAUUCGUAUUAAUAAAAAAAAUCUUUGCACCAUCAUGUUGCAAGUAGGUGUUUACCCAAAGAUGUUGCUUGCUGUAAUUAUAUGAAAUUGAUAUGUCCCUUUGAAGGAAGAAGAACCUGUAAUCUAAGUAGAUUUAUUAUAUGCAUGUUUGGUAACGGUACUAGAUAUAGUGGGAGCACUUGCCGUAUAAUUAAGGUUUAGUUAAAACAUAUCCAUAGAGCCACUAAGCAUUAUGGAGGUCUAAGCAGAACAUGUGCUGCAUCACUGGACGAACUAGGUAUAUUGAAGGAGCUCUUGCGAUGCUAUGGCUUCAAUUCCAUGGAGGGAGAAUGCAUGGCAACAAUAAAUCAUUUGUAAUGGAGAACCAGCAGCAGAAUAUUAAGUAUAUUCCUGUGUAUUAUUUUUGUAGUACCACUUUAUUCUGCGGUCUAAAACUGAAUCCAGCUGAAAGGACUCUGUUGGAGACUCUGGAGAAACAGAAGUGGGCUGUCACAAGUUAAAAACCUUUGCGUACAGCUGCUGCCAGCUCCUUGCAAAUGACGUUUUUAUUAAGUACUAGCUUUUGACUUUUUCAGUAUUGUAAAAGAAACAGCAAGCAGACCACGUUAGCACAAAAUGAAUAAUACACAAUGUCAGUUCGUGAAAAAUUGCCCUGAAGCUAUAAAGGUGUCUUUUCUAUAUGCUUUAUUUAAUAGAAAGCAAAAUAAAAGCAAACAUGAAUCUUAGGCAUUGGCACAGAUUGUAUCAUAGUGCAGAAAUAGUAUGCAAAGCUAAGCGGCUUGCUUGGAGCCUGGGGUGAAAAAAAAAGGCAAGGACACUUUCUGGCCAGGCCAGAUAAAAGAGCAUUGACUAUAUAUUUCAUUUGUGUUCCUUGCUUAAUUCCUUUUCUCCUUUCCUUAUCUUCACACCUUGAGCUCAGGCAGACCAGCGCUUCGUUUCUGAUGAAUAAGGCAGCCAUCCAAAAAUCAGCUUAAUGAAAAUGCUGUAUAUCACCGCACUGCUCCCACCAUACGCUUCUGAUGAACGAGGAGUAUGGCAUUAGGAGCUUUCUGAAACAAAAGAGCUCUGCACGAGAUGUAAACCAAGGACCCUGGAACCAGAAUCGCAUGUGGCACAAGAUCUGUUCCCCUCUUACAUCGUAAAGUCAUAAGAUGGACCAUGGUUCCUGCCUGGUUGUUGGCAUAAGAUGGUAAGUCCUCAGCCACGAUGAUUGGAAUUCAUCUUCCCUAACCCUUACCAUCUAAAAGUUAGAUGAGGUUAAUGUACAGUCUAAAGUACAGUAGCUGGUUCUUUCUUCACUUGAGGGAGAAGACCCUGUCUCUAGUACUAGUGAAAUAGUAACCACAUGCCUACAACCUUUUCCCACAUCCCAGACAGUAAGUAUUGGUUAUGAUCUCAUUCCCAGGAACCAUGGAAAUAGGAGCAGUGGUAGGACUUUGUACAUGAGUAUGAACAAGUAGAAUAUAGACCCUUAUUGUUCCUGAGGAAAGUUUGACUUUAAAUUUGGCUUCAAGGAAUCAGGAAUGGUUUAUCUUCUGCUGGUACUUGUCUCAUCCUGUGGAAUAAACUGACACUGACAUGCUUUGAAUGUGUGACUGUCAGAGUUUCUGUCUCGUUAUGGCUUGAUGACUUAAACUUAGAAAUUAAUUUCUUUUCAAGUUGAAAAAUUCUUGAGAACAACGCAUUUGUGGUAUCACACUUCAUUUUGCAACAGCAGCCUGAUCUACUCAACAGAUAAAAAAUUUCAGAAGAGCUUUUUGUAAUGUACAGAUGCUUAUGUACAGGCAAUUCUGGAUGCACAUUUUACCAACAUUACAUGUUAAGAAUUCACCUCCUAUUAAGUUAGCUUGAUAAAAAACAAGAUAAAGGACGUUUCUUAGUUGUUGAGCUUAUCAUGUUUUUCAUGCAGUGAAAACUCAUUCUGACUUUUUGGUCAAUUAAUUAAUUUUUUUAUCUACUGAACUAGUUUUGGUUGGGAUAGAGUUAAUUUUCUUCAUAGUAGCUAGUAUGGGGCUAUGCUUUGGAUUUGUGAUGAAAACUAUUCAUAACACAGGGAUGUUUAGUUUCUGCUGAGCAGUGCUCACACAGAGCCAAGGCCCUUCUGCUUCUCACCCCACCGCACCAGCAAGUAGGCUGGGGGUGCACAAGAAGUUGGGAGGGGACACAGCUACAAUAGCUGACCCCAAUGACCAAAGGGAUAUCCCAUACCAUAUGACAUCAUGCUUGGCAAUAGAAGCUGCAGGGAAGAAGGAGGAAGAGGGGAACAUUCAGAGUGAUGGUAUUUGUCUUCCCAAGUAACCAUUAAGCAUGAUGGAGCCCUGCUUUCCAGAUGAUGGCUGAACAUCUGCCUGGCAAUGGAAAGUAGUGAAUGAAUUCCUUGUUUUUCUUUGCUUGCGUGCACGGCCUUUGCUGUACUUAUUAAACUGUCUUUAUCUCAACCCACGAGUUUGCUCACUUUUACCCUUCCUAUUAUCUCCCCAUCCCACUGGGGGAAAGUGAGUGUGGGGCUGUGUGGGGCUGAGCGGCCCACUGGGAUUAAACAAUGACACUCCUUUUUGGUGCCCAGUGUGGGGCCUGAAGGGUUGGAGGUAGCAACAGAUUUGACUGGAGUUUGCUAGAUGGAACUUAGAGCUGUUAUUGCGGUUUAGGUAUUAAUUGGCAGGCUCCUGUGCUUGCCAUGGGGCUUGCUUGCCUGACUGUACAUUAGAGUCCAGUGCUUGUUCAUGGCUGCUUUUUGCUCCUGCUGUUUGCUGCAGGGCUUAUCAUCUCACCCUGCUCUGCCUGGGAGCACUUUGAUAACGGCAGUGGCCAUGUGCCUGGGCUGGCUGAUGGCCAGGGCAUUGCUGCUGUUCUUUGCUGCUGUGCUGGGCAGGCCGGAGCUCCAGGGUCAACUUAAGUCGAAGGGACUGUGACCUGUGGAUAAGUCCAUGCAGAAGCAGGACAUCCCAAAGAGGCUGUGGCUGUGGCCAAGUCCAUGCUGGAGCAGAUACACCUCAAAACAUCUGUGGCCAUGGAUAAGUGCAGGCCGCAGCAGGUGUAUCCUUGAAGAAGCUGUGACCCAUGAGUAAGUCCAUGCUGGAGCAGAUGGGACUGUGGUCUGUGGAUAAGUCCAUGCUGGACAAGGGGAGAAGUAUACUGCAGUGUCCAAAGGGAACAGAGGUGGAGAUUGUAAUGGAUGUACCUUCAAAUUGUUGUAAACUGUGAUUCGAGUUGCAUGGUAUAGCAAGUACUAUAGCAGGAACCACCACCGGUGGAGGACAAGCCUUACAAGAAGCAAGUGCAAGUGCAGCAGUGACCCAGCCUGAGCUGGCUUUGGUGCCCAGUAACUCCACGCAACACACCACCUCUCCUGUCCUGAGUGAUUGCCAUAACAGAUAGAACCCAAGUCAUGGACUAAUGAACUCAAUGGACAUUUCAUGGACAUUUUAUGGACAUUUUACAGGGGUGGUCCAUAGCCUAAGGGAAUCAUAUCUGUGUAGAUAUCAAAGGAUGGGAAGGGCUAAUGAAGAUCUGUUGGAUAGUGUGGGACCUGAGCAUGAUGUAAAUGGUAUGGAAUAAGGUGUGGAGAUUGUACUGGUUUUGGAUGGGAUAGAGUUAAUUUUCUUCAUAGUAGCUUGUAUGGUGCUAUGUUUUGGAUUUUUGAUGAAAACAGUGUUGAUAAAACACCGAUGUUCGUGCUUCCUGGUGUGAUACAGGGGAUGCCCACACCGUGACAGAGGAGGAAGGAUGAGCACUCUCACUGUUGGCUAGGUAAUUAUUUUGCUCAUAGGUGCACGAGUUACAAGUUACGAGUUAAUGAAUUGCCAGUUAUGAAUUAGAGAACUUGUGAGUUAGAAACCUCAUGACUUACAUGACGAAUUAGUGAAUUCAUGUGCUAGGCUAGCCUGUACAAAGGGAAUUGAGCCCUUGUUUGUCGUGUUUGUUUUCUUUCCUAAUGAGCUCAUAAAAUAAAGUUUAAUUUACAGAG